AGUGCUCUGUACGCUACUCUGCACUGGACAUGUUCAAGAUGCUGUGCUAACUAUUGAACCCAAAUCGUCCAGUUUUUUCAUUGGAGAGUUUGUUACCUUCAAAUGUGACAUGAAUGAAGGAGAAGACACUGACUGGUAUUACGAAAUCAAGAAGGAUGGUCUAGAAUUUGUGCGCUACAACACAGACAAAGACUACAGAUUUGAAAUUACAUCUACAGGUUACAGUGGUGAAUAUCAGUGCUCUGGUAGCUUAGUGAGCUCACAUCAUAUAAAGAACAGUAAUACUGUCUCUAUAACUGUAUUAGCAGAUAAACCCAGGGCCACACUGACAACAGGAACAACAAUCAUACCAGUAGGGGGCAGUGUGACACUGACCUGCUCUGUGCAGAGCUCUGAUGGAUGGAAAUAUGAGUGGUUCAGACGAACCCAAACAACCUCUGAAGUUCAAAUCAGAGAUCAACAAAACAGAGAUAUCAGAGUAUCUGAAGGAGGAAUCUACAGCUGCAGAGGAACAAGAGGAAACCCAGUUUACUACACUGAUAGAAGUGAUGAAGUCACCACUGAG